rnacentral:rRNA from 1 species
AUUGAACGCUGGCGGCAGGCUUAACACAUGCAAGUCGAACGAGUGGCGGACGGGUGAGUAAUGUCUGGGAAACUGCCUGAUGGAGGGGGAUAACUACUGGAAACGGUAGCUAAUACCGCAUACCAUCAGAUGUGCCCAGAUGGGAUUAGCUAGUAGGUGGGGUAAGGGCUCACCUAGGCGACGAUCCCUCGCUGGUCUGAGAGGAUGACAAGCCACACGGGAACUGAGAAACGGUCCAGACUCCUACGGGAGGCAGCAGUGGGGAAUAGUGCACAAUGGGCGCAAGCCUGAUGCAGCCAUGCCGCGUGUGUGAAGAAGGCCUUCGGGUGGUAAAGCACUUGCAGCGAGGAGGCGUUACUCGCAGAAGAAGCACCGGCUAACUCCGUGCCAGCAGCCGCGGUAAUUC